rnacentral:sRNA from 1 species
GAAAAGAUGUCGAACGCUGCCGAACGCGGCCGA